rnacentral:rRNA from 1 species
UACGGAGGGUGCAAGCGUUGUCCGGAUUCAUUGGGUUUAAAGGGUGCGCAGGCGGAAGCUUAAGUCAGGGGUGAAAGACGGUUGCUCAACAAUCGCAGUGCCCUUGAUACUGGGCUUCUUGGGUGACGAUGAGGUAGGCGGAAUGGGUGGUGUAGCGGUGAAAUGCAUAGAUACCACCCAGAACUCCGAUUGCGAAGGCAGCCUACUGGCCGUUAACCGACGCUCAGGCACGAAAGCGUGGGGAUCAAACAGG